CCUAACGGGUGGCAGCAGUGAGGAAUAUUGGUCAAUGGACGAGAGUCUGAACCAGCCAAGUAGCGUGAAGGAUGACUGCCCUAUGGGUUGUAAACUUCUUUUAUAUGGGAAUAAAAUGUUCCACGUGUGGGAUUUUGUAUGUACCAUAUGAAUAAGGAUCGGCUAACUCCGUGCCAGCAGCCGCGGUAAUACGGAGGAUCAGAGCGUUAUCCGGAUUUAUUGGGUUUAAAGGGAGCGUAGGUGGAUUGUUAAGUCAGUUGUGAAAGUUUGCGGCUCAACCGUAAAAGUGCAGUUGAAACUGGCAGUCGUGAGUACAGUAGAGGUGGGAGGAAUUCGUGGUGGAGCGGUGAAAUGCUUAGAUAGCACGAAGAACUCCGAUUGCGAAGGCAGCUCACAGGACUGCAACUGACACUGAGGCUCGAAAGUGUGGGUAUCAAACAGGAUUAGAUACCCGGGUAGUC
rnacentral:rRNA from 1 species